GGCCGGUGAUGUUUAGAUGUAUUGUCCGUACCAUCUGAGAGAAAUCUCUGAUGCAUUAACCUCUAGCUUCUGAGGCCU